AGUAGCAAACCAACACGUUCGAGUACUCUAUGAACUGCUUUCUUGCAAAGCCAGGUGAGAGCAGGGCAGACAGCACCCACAUGUCUUACAGCGCAAAGAUGCUGGUACUAGUUCAAUUGCCUAGUUAAAUCAAAAAUAAAUAUAUAUUUGUAAUACUUCGCAAAAAAUUGGUCCGUCCAUCCCAGUGACCUACCUAGCAUGCAUUGGUACUGAAUCGGUUCGAAUGACGGAGUGCGGGGCUGACUUCCUGCACCUCGAUGUUAUGGACCGUCAUUCUGUACCCAACAUCAUGUUCGGUCAUCCCAUGGUGGAGUGCCUGAGGAACUGUGUGGGGCCAGACCCUUUUUGAUAUGCACGUGAUGGUAUCGGGGCCAGAGCGGUGGGUGAAACCCAUGGCAGGAGACAAUCAGUACACAUUCCACCCGGAGGCCACCACCAAUGCUGGAAACCUCAUCAAGGAGAUCGGAGAGAGCGGCAUGAAAGUGAGGCCGUGUUCACUAUAGAGGGAGACGAGAUCCAGAUAUGGGAGAGAAACGAAUCGUCAGAGAAAAUAAACGUGAGCUGGCUGAGGAGUCAGUUUCCCUCUCUGGACAUUGUGGAUGGAGGAGUGGGUCCUUCUGCCAACCAUAAGUGUGCGGAUGCGGAUGCUGACAUGAUCAUGUCGGACUGUGGUAAGCAGCGAUGACCCUCGCUCUGUCAUCACAGACAGACAGACAGAGAGAGAGAGAAAGGCUGAACAAGAUGUCAUAUUUUGAAGACUUUUUUUGGGGGGGG